rnacentral:rRNA from 1 species
GACGAACGCUGGCGGCGUGCCUAACACAUGCAAGUCGAACGGGUUCUUUUAAGAAGCUUGCUUCUUGGCUGAACUAGUGGCGGACGGGUGAGUAACACGUGAGCAAUCUGCCCAUAAGAGGGGGAUAACGUCUGGAAACGGACGCUAAUACCGCAUAACAUGCAAGGCCGGCAUCGGCAAUGCAUCAAAGGAGAAAUCCGCUUAUGGAUGAGCUCGCGCCCGAUUAGAUAGUUGGCGGGGUAACGGCCCACCAAGUCGACGAUCGGUAGCCGGACUGAGAGGUUGAACGGCCACAUU